AGAGUUUGAUCCUGGCUCAGGACGAACGCUGGCGGCGUGCCUAAUACAUGCAAGUAGAACGCUGAAGGAAGGAGCUUGCUCUUUCCGGAUGAGUUGCGAACGGGUGAGUAACGCGUAGGUAACCUGCCUGGUAGCGGGGGAUAACUAUUGGAAACGAUAGCUAAUACCGCAUAACAGNAGAUAUCGCAUGAUAGCUGCUUGAAAGGUGCAAUUGCACCACUACCAGAUGGACCUGCGUUGUAUUAGCUAGUUGGUGAGGUAACGGCUCACCAAGGCCACGAUACAUAGCCGACCUGAGAGGGCGAUCGACCACACUGGGACUGAGACACGGCCCAGACUCCUACGGGAGGCAGCAGUAGGGAAUCUUCGGCAAUGGACGGAAGUCUGACCGAGCAACGCCGCGUGAGUGAAGAAGGUUUUCGGAUCGUAAAGCUCUGUUGUAAGAGAAGAACGAGUGUGAGAGUGGAAAGUUCACACUGUGACGGUAUCUUACCAGAAAGGGACGGCUAACUACGUGCCAGCAGCCGCGGU
rnacentral:rRNA from 1 species